rnacentral:lncRNA from 1 species
CAUCUUUAAUCGAGAGUGAUGUCAGCAACAUGGCAGAGUGGCCAGAUUUCUUUGUCUCUCCCCCUUUGAACUACAAGUAAUUGGACAUUCAUUGAUCAGCAAAGGAUACCCACACAGCACCUCAGGACGUCUGAGAGACCCACGCUGCUAUACAUCAGAAGGUGGAUAACUACCCCCAGGGAAGAGUUGGAGAUAGGUGAAAACUCUCUGGCCCCCCAGACAGCCUAGUACCUGAGACUGACUCUCUCCUGGCUGACACUCUCAUAGCACCUCCACGGCACUGAGGGUGGGUAUAUGCAUCAGCCAUGCAACUGUGGAAACAGAUGAGUCCACUGAGGCACAGAGAAGUUGAGUAACUUGUUGAAGAACCACAAUCCUACCCAAAUCAAUGAAGAAGGAUAUUGAGGAUAUUGAGAUACCUGGUGAAAGAAUGAGACCAUGCUGGAUUCUAGGAUUGAAUAUCUCCAAAACUCAUUCUCUGCAUGACUUCUUCUGCAAUAUUCUGAAUAUUUCGCUUUCUCAGGACUGAAAAGCCUGCCAGGAGGCAAGAGAGGAGACAACGAGAUAAAAGUCUGGUCACUUCUUCCCAAGGAUGGCUUCACAAAGGUGGUGGCUGAAGCCCCCUUCAGGCCAGUUCAGGAGCUACUUCACUCUGCUUUACUCAUAAAUAAUUUCAACUCCCUGAAGCUCCUUAAAGUAAAGGGACAAAGACAGCCAACGCCCUUAAUAGAGCCAGCUGUGUGGUCAACGACACUAUAUCAAAUGCAAGUUGAUCCUGAGAAAUCGUCUGUGGGUAGCUCUUUCUCCCCAUCUCCUCAAUUAAAA